rnacentral:rRNA from 1 species
UGGGGAAUUUUGGACAAUGGGCGAAAGCCUGAUCCAGCAAUGCCGCGUGUGCGAAGAAGGCCUUCGGGUUGUAAAGCACUUUUGUCCGGAAAGAAAUCCUUGGCUCUAAUACAGUCGGGGGAUGACGGUACCGGAAGAAUAAGCACCGGCUAACUACGUGCCAGCAGCCGCGGUAAUACGUAGGGUGCAAGCGUUAAUCGGAAUUACUGGGCGUAAAGCGUGCGCAGGCGGUUUGCUAAGACCGAUGUGAAAUCCCCGGGCUCAACCUGGGAACUGCAUUGGUGACUGGCAGGCUAGAGUAUGGCAGAGGGGGGUAGAAUUCCACGUGUAGCAGUGAAAUGCGCAGAGAUGUGGAGGAAUACCGAUGGCGAAGGCAGCCCCCUGGGCCAAUACUGACGCUCAUGCACGAAAGCGUGGGGAGCAAAACAGGAUUAGAUACCCUGGUAGUCCACGCCCUAAACGAUGUCAACUAGUUGUUGGGGAUUCAUUUCCUUAGUAACGUAGCUAACGCGUGAAGUUGACCGCCUGGGGAGUACGGUCGCAAGAUUAAAACUCAAAUGAAUUGACGGGGUCAUA